UCAGUCGAAGGUGUUGGGACGAGAAGUCUGCACGCGAUAAGAGGUAUUAGCGUCGUGCCAACGAGGGUGUGUAUAUUUGUCACGUCAUCCUUCCGACAACCUAGACAGCGAUGAACGAGGUGCAGCCUAUAAUGAGGUGCGGUCGCUUUUACCAAAAUCUGCAUAUAAUGAACGUGUGAGAUUUGAAUUAUUUCAUUUGAUCAAUUCUUCACUAAGAAGUAUCCUACUUUUGUUCAAAAAAAUAGGUAAAUCGUGAUGAAAUGAGACGGAAUAGACAUCAGGCUGAUGGAAAGUUUUGGAUUAGUUCAAACGCCCAAGGAAGUGAUUGCGAAUGAUGAACGAUCCACAUGAUAAAGUAGUAACCAUGACAUAAAGAAAUAUCGACGAAAAGCACCCCCAUUCAUCAUAACUUCCAUCAUAAGCCCUACCUCAUUCUUUAACAAUCACUUACUCAUAACACUGGCAAUAACGCCAAAUAAGUUUCAGUGCAAAUCAAGAGGGAAAUAAAAUCGACUAAGUAAAUUCAAUUAUUAGUAUUAGAACCCUGUAACUACAUAUUCAUGAGAAAAAUAUUGGAAGGCAGUGGAAAUGAAAUUUUGUCAGCAUCUUGAAAUGUGUUUGCAAAUCGCUACAGGUACUUUCGCCAAACUGUAAAACUGCCAACUUGAAUUCAAACAUCCGUACAUGAACUCUAGUGGAACAGUUCUGGUACGGACGUUUCACCGCACUGUUGGGCAUAUCUCAGUUAAAGCUCGUGAAAUCCAAGUGCUUUCAACCUUGUGACAAGUCGCAGUCAUAACUCAAAGCUACACGUAUAAGAGCUAGAAAAAUUUCAUGGUUGAUGUCAUCGCAGUCUCACGAUUUCGCGACACAAAUAUAGCGAAUGCAUAUCUAAAAUUUCGAGA